rnacentral:rRNA from 1 species
GAGUUUGAUCAUGGCUCACAUUGAACGCUGGCGGCAGGCUUAACACAUGCAAGUCGAGCGGGGAAGGGUAGCUUGCUACCUGACCUAGCGGCGGACGGGUGAGUAAUGCUUAGGAAUCUGCCUAUUAGUGGGGGACAACAUUCCGAAAGGAAUGCUAAUACCGCAUACGCCCUACGGGGGAAAGCAGGGGAUCUUCGGACCUUGCGCUAAUAGAUGAGCCUAAGUCAGAUUAGCUAGUUGGUGGGGUAAAGGCCUACCAAGGCGACGAUCUGUAGCGGGUCUGAGAGGAUGAUCCGCCACACUGGGACUGAGACACGGCCCAGACUCCUACGGGAGGCAGCAGUGGGGAAUAUUGGACAAUGGGCGAAAGCCUGAUCCAGCCAUGCCGCGUGUGUGAAGAAGGCCUUUUGGUUGUAAAGCACUUUAAGCGAGGAGGAGGCUACUUAGAUUAAUACUCUAGGAUAGUGGACGUUACUCGCAGAAUAAGCACCGGCUAACUCUGUGCCAGCAGCCGCGGUAAUACAGAGG